rnacentral:rRNA from 1 species
UACGUAGGGGGCAAGCGUUGUCCGGAUUUAUUGGGCGUAAAGAGCGUGUAGGCGGUUAGGUAGGUCCGUUGUGAAAACUCGAGGCUCAACCUCGAGACGCCGAUGGAAACCAUCUGACUAGAGUCCGGAAGAGGAGAGUGGAAUUCCUGGUGUAGCGGUGAAAUGCGCAGAUAUCAGGAAGAACACCGGAGGCGAAGGCGGCUUGCUGGGCUCGGUCUGACGCUGAGGCGCGAAAGCGUGGGGAGCGAACAGG